rnacentral:rRNA from 1 species
GGGCCCGCACAAGCGGUGGAGCAUGUGGCUUAAUUCGAGGCAACGCGAAGAACCUUACCUGGUCUUGACAUGCCCGUCAUAGUUUUCCGAAAGGAAUUCGUCAGUUCGGCUGGACGGUGCACAGGUGCUGCAUGGCUGUCGUCAGCUCGUGUCGUGAGAUGUUCGGUUAAGUCCGGCAACGAGCGCAACCCUCGUUCCUAGUUGCCAGCGGGUAAUGCCGGGGACUCUAGGAAGACAAACCUCGUGUAGAGGUGGAAGGUGGGGACGACGUCAAGUCAGUAUGGCCCUUACGACCAGGGCUGCACACGUGCUACAAUGCCCAGCACAAUGGAUGCAACGCCGCGAGGUUGAG